rnacentral:rRNA from 1 species
UUGGAGGGCAAGUCUGGUGCCAGCAGCCGCGGUAAUUCCAGCUCCAAUAGCGUAUAUUAAAGUUGUUGCAGUUAAAAAGCUCGUAGUUGAAUUUCGGGAUCAAGGAAUCGGUCAUGCCUUGGUAUGUACUGGUUUUAUUGGUUCUCACCUUCUAAAGAACCAUGAUGUCAUUCAUUUGAUGUUAUGGGGAAUUAGGACUGUUACCUUGAAAAAAUUAGAGUGUUUAAAGCAAGCUUACGCUUGAAUACAUUAGCAUGGAAUAAUGAAAUAGGACAUCAGAUUCUAUUUUGUUGGUUUCUAGGAUCGAUGUAAUGAUUAAUAGGGAUAGUUGGGGGCAUUAGUAUUCAAUUGUCAGAGGUGAAAUUCUUGGAUUUAUUGAAGACUAACUACUGCGAAAGCAUUUGCCAAGGAUGUUUUCAUUAAUCAAGAACGAAAGUUAGGGGAUCGAAGACGAUCAGAUACCGUCGUAGUCUUAACCAUAAACUAUGCCGACUAGGGAUCGGAUGAUGUUAAUUUUUUAAUGACUCAUUCGGCGCCUUACGGGAAAC